GAUGAACGCUGGCGGCGUGCCUAAUACAUGCAAGUCGAGCGAACAGACGAGGAGCUUGCUCCUCUGACGUUAGCGGCGGACGGGUGAGUAACACGUGGAUAACCUACCUAUAAGACUGGGAUAACUUCGGGAAACCGGAGCUAAUACCGGAUAAUAUAUUGAACCGCAUGGUUCAAUAGUGAAAGACGGUUUUGCUGUCACUUAUAGAUGGAUCCGCGCCGCAUUAGCUAGUUGGUAAGGUAACGGCUUACCAAGGCAACGAUGCGUAGCCGACCUGAGAGGGUGAUCGGCCACACUGGAACUGAGACACGGUCCAGACUCCUACGGGAGGCAGCAGUAGGGAAUCUUCCGCAAUGGGCGGAAGCCUGACGGAGCAACGCCGCGUGAGUGAUGAAGGUCUUCGGAUCGUAAAACGCUGUUAUUAGGGAAGAACAAAUGUGUAAGUAACUAUGCACGUCUUGACGGUACCUAAUCAGAAAGCCACGGCUAACUACGUG
rnacentral:rRNA from 1 species